UGGGGAAUUUUGGACAAUGGGCGAAAGCCUGAUCCAGCAAUGCCGCGUGUGUGAAGAAGGCCUUCGGGUUGUAAAGCACUUUUGUCCGGAAAGAAAUCCUUGGCUCUAAUACAGUCGGGGGAUGACGGUACCGGAAGAAUAAGCACCGGCUAACUACGUGCCAGCAGCCGCGGUAAUACGUAGGGUGCAAGCGUUAAUCGGAAUUACUGGGCGUAAAGCGUGCGCAGGCGGUUUGCUAAGACCGAUGUGAAAUCCCCGGGCUCAACCUGGGAACUGCAUUGGUGACUGGCAGGCUAGAGUAUGGCAGAGGGGGGUAGAAUUCCACGUGUAGCAGUGAAAUGCGUAGAGAUGUGGAGGAAUACCGAUGGCGAAGGCAGCCCCCUGGGCCAAAUACUGACGCUCAUGCACGAAAGCGUGGGGAGCAAAACAGGAUUAGAUACCCUGGUAGUCCACGCCCUAAAACGAUGUCAACUAGUUGUUGGGGAUUCAUUUCCUAGUAACGUAGCUAACGCGUGAAGUUGACCGCCUGGGGAGUACGGUCGCAAGAUUAAAACUUAAAUGAA
rnacentral:rRNA from 1 species